rnacentral:rRNA from 1 species
CAGCCGUAAACUAUGCGCGUUAGGUGUACUGGUGACCACGAGUCACCGGGGUGCCGAAGGGAAACCGUGAAACGUGCCGCCUGGGAAGUACGGUCGCAAGGCUGAAACUUAAGGAAUUGGCCGGGGGGAGCACCACAACGGGUGGAGCCUGCGGUUUAAUUGGACUCAACGCCGGAAAUCUCACCGGAUAGGACAGACAUAUGAUAGUCGGGCUGAAGACUCUACUUGAUGAUCUGAGAGGUGGUGCAUGGCGUAGUCGUGU